rnacentral:rRNA from 1 species
CAGUCGCCACGGUAAUACGAAGGGGGCUAGCGUUGUUCGGAAUUACUGGGCGUAAAGCGCACGUAGGCGGAUAUUUAAGUCAGGGGUGAAAUCCCAGAGCUCAACUCUGGAACUGCCUUUGAUACUGGGUAUCUUGAGUAUGGAAGAGGUGAGUGGAAUUCCGAGUGUAGAGGUGAAAUUCGUAGAUAUUCGGAGGAACACCAGUGGCGUAGGCGGCUCACUGGUCCAUUACUGACGCUGAGGUGCGAAAGCGUGGGGAGCAAACAGGAUUAGAUACCCGCGUAGUCCCUGUCUCUUAUAC